rnacentral:rRNA from 1 species
GACGAACGCUGGCGGCGUGCUUAACACAUGCAAGUCGAACGAUGAACUUGGAGCUUGCUCUGGGGGAUUAGUGGCGAACGGGUGAGUAACACGUGAGUAACCUGCCCUGGACUCUGGGAUAACUUCGAGAAAUCGGAGCUAAUACCGGAUAGGACCUUGCACCGCAUGGUGUGGGGUGGAAAGUUUUUCGGUUUGGGAUGGACUCGCGGCCUAUCAGCUUGUUGGUGAGGUAAUGGCUCACCAAGGCGUCGACGGGUAGCCGGCCUGAGAGGGGGACCGGCCACACUGGGACUGAGACACGGCCCAGGCUCCUACGGGAGGCAGCAGUGGGGAAUAUUGCACAAUGGGCGCAAGCCUGAUGCAGCAACGCCGCGUGCGGGAUGACGGCCUUCGGGUUGUAAACCACUUUUAGUAGGGAAGAAGCCUUCGGGUGACGGUACCUGCAGAAAAAGGACCGGCUAACUACGUGCCAGCCGCCGCCGUAACAC